AUUCUCUUCUUUCUCUAAAAUUUUGAGAAAAAGAAAAAAUUCUUUGUUUCGUAUGCCUUCCCGUAUGUUUGUGAGGUUGUGUUCGGACAUGGUCCAACUUUUUGUUUCAAUACCGUACGUAGUUUCACUUGAUGGGCAUGGCGACGUUAAGUCUCACCGGAAAAUCUUUUUGGUUGCUUACGUCAUUGUGAUGCUUCAUGCUACUUUGGAAUGGUGGACGCUUUCCUUCAUAUGAAAGAAAGUUUCGUUCGUUUGUUAAAUCUGAGUUUAAUUUCGUUUGGAAGAGGAAGACUAGAUGUGCAAUUUCUUUAGAGGGUCUUCAGUGCUCUACUUGAAGCUUCUGGUUUUGCGGAGUGAACGAACUUUCGGUGGGUAGGCGUUCUUCGAUCUCAGAAAACAUGCCGGCAGUGGUUGGCAUUCUCGACAAACACGUUCUUCUCGUCACGUGUCUGUGAUUUCCUCAUGAGGCGACACAUGUCUCUGUGUUGUAUGGCUUUCUUAUCCCUUCCUCGAUGGGUUACUAUAUUGGGCUCGGUUUGACUUUUGUUGUUGGACUUUUGUUUUAAGAAGGCUUUGUUUUAAGAAGAAAGAGAUAGCAAAAUAGGCAAAAUCUCUAUUUGCGCAAAUUGGUUUUGGAGUUGAGAAGCGGAUCUUUGUGGUUACUUUUCGUUAGGAUAUCUGUGUAAGAGGGCCUUGCAGAAGUUUUGGAUUGAUUGGAUUGCACUCAUGGCUCCAUCAGAUCGCGUGUUAAGUGUAAAGGUUCCCCGAAUGGGGAUUAAGUGAGAGAUUCAGUUUCUCCCUUUUUAGUAUCUUAUUUUCUUUUGAGAUUUCUGUAAGAUUUACUCUUUCAAUAGUUCAUUGUUAGUUUACAAAUUUGA